AUUCUCACUUUGGCAGCACAUAUCCUAAAAUUGGAAGAAUACAGAGAAGAUUAGCAUGGUCCCUGAACAAGGAUGACAUGCAAAUUAAUGCCAGAUUAUAUAAAUUUUU
ensembl:snRNA U6 U6 spliceosomal RNA